AGUUGAGCCUGUAAUUUGACCAAGAAGCAUGGAACAUUUCUCAGGCUCAUUACUUAGAAGCUUGAGAAAAAUGGGAUUCCAAGGACCAAGGAUCAAAGGAAAGAUCCAUGCUGAAAGACAUGAGAAGAAGCAGGAAAGACUCAUCAUAAUUGAAACAUUGUAACCGGUUUGUCCAGAGCUAUCGUUCUCACCGGCAAGAACACACUCGGACAACCGGAUUCUUCUGCGGCAAGCUUUAUUGCUUCUUAAGGAGGGAAGACCCAGCCCCCGGAAAAUGGUGCUGCGUAUAUAGCCCUCAGCGUGGCGUUUCAGCACCUGAUGUGGCCUGUCAGCUCCUGAUUUGUUGCUUGCCCAUCACCUCAUUACUACACCCCAAGAUGGGCAGUGACUAGGUGUGAGUUCACUCUCUCACUUAUGCACAAGGCUUGUUUACUAGUUAGGCACAGCGGAAGCCAGCACCAUCUUAUAAUGGCGAUUGCUUGUGGCACGGCUCUCCACAUAAGUUCAAGUUUAACUCACACCAAAAACAAUCCCAAGCCAUGUUUCCCUUUAUUAAUGAUUUGCAAAUGUAUAGACAUCUGAGACCAAAGGAAGGGUUUGGAACUGGCAUCAAAAAAAUGCAAACAUAAAUAAUCCUUAGUCAAUAAAAAAAAAAAGAAUAAGAAAAGAAAUGAAAAAUGAAAAAUGGUGGACAUGGCCCCUCAGCUUUUCUUUUAAAUUGGAAAUGGCAAUGAGGAGUUUCUUGACUUAGUUCCCACCUCUGUGGCCAGGAAUAUUUAGAGCAAUUCCUGAGAAUCCCUGGUAUCUUCUAUUCUUACUUUGUUUGCAUUUUUCUCUUGGUUAAUCUUUCACUUUUGUGAGACUGCCAAAAGCAGUACAAGUUUCUUGCAUCCAAUAAACAGAAGCGACUAA